ACUUUAUUUCAACAGUGAGGUUCCCGGGUUUCUAAUCCGGGAUGAAAAAGGAACCGUGUGUAAAUCACGGGCUGUCGCGCAACUGUAAGUAACACAAAAGGUUGUUGCCUUUAACCAAUGUCCAUUGUCCCGCCAAAACGGGGCGAGAAGGACGGCAACAAUGUUACAAGCCAGGAUACUUGCCCCCUGUUUAAGACAAUG
rnacentral:ncRNA from 2 species